GUCUUUUCGAGGUAGGAGUCGACUCCUGUGAGGUAUGGUGCUGGGUGCAGAUGCAGUGUGGCUCUGGAUAGCACCUUAUGGACAGUUGUGUCCCCAAGGAAGGAUGAGAAUAGCUACUGAAGUCCUAAAGAGCAAGCCUAACUCAAGCCAUUGGCACACAGGCAUUAGACAGAAAGCUGGAAGUUGAAAUGGUGGAGUCCAACUUGCCUGGACCAGCUUAAUGGUUCUGCUCCUGGUAACGUUUUUAUCCAUGGAUGACUUGCUUGGGUAUGGAGAGUCGGCUUGACUACACUGUGUGGAGCAAGUUUUAAAGAAGCAAAGGACUCAGAAUUCAUGAUUGAAGAAAUGCAGGCAGACCUGUUAUCCUAAACUAGGGUUUUUAAUGACCACAACAAGCAAGCAUGCAGCUUACUGCUUGAAAGUCUUGUCUUAUUUUUUGAGACAGGGUCUUGCCUCACCCAAGCUAGAGUGCAGUGGCCUUUGAAGCUUACUACAGCCUCAAACUUCUGGGCUCAAGUGAUCCUCAGCCUCCCAGUGGUCUUUGUAGACUGCCUGAUGGAGUCUCAUGGCACAAGAAGAUUAAAACAGUGUCUCCAAUUUUAAUAAAUUUUUGCAAUCCAUCAAAAAAAAAAAAAAAAAA
rnacentral:sRNA from 1 species